GACGAAGGAUGCAAGCGUUAUCCGGAUUCAUUGGGUUUAAAGGGAAGCGUAGGCGGCCCUAUAAGUCAGUGGUGAAAUCUCUCGGCUUAACCGAGAAAUUGCCAUUGAUACUGUAGGGCUUGAGUACAGUUGCCGUUGGCGGAAUAUGACAUGUAGUGGUGAAAUACAUAGAGAUGUCAUAGAACACCGAUGCGAAGGCAGCUAACGAAACUGUAACUGACGCUGAGGCUCGAAAGUGCGGGGAUCAAACAGG
rnacentral:rRNA from 1 species